rnacentral:rRNA from 1 species
GAUGAACGCUGGCGGCGUGCCUAAUACAUGCAAGUCGAGCGAACAGACGAGGAGCUUGCUCCUCUGACGUUAGCGGCGGACGGGUGAGUAACACGUGGAUAACCUACCUAUAAGACUGGGAUAACUUCGGGAAACCGGAGCUAAUACCGGAUAACAUGUUGAACCGCAUGGUUCAACAGUGAAAGACGGUCUUGCUGUCACUUAUAGAUGGAUCCGCGCCGCAUUAGCUAGUUGGUAAGGUAACGGCUUACCAAGGCGACGAUGCGUAGCCGACCUGAGAGGAUGAUCAGCCACACUGGAACUGAGACACGGUCCAGACUCCUACGGGAGGCAGCAGUGGGGAAUCUUCCGCAAUGGGCGAAAGCCUGACGGAGCAACGCCGCGUGAGUGAAGAAGGUCUUCGGAUCGUAAAACUCUGUUAUUAGGAAAGAACAAAUGUGUAAUUAACUACGCACGUUUUGACGGUACCUAAACAGAAAGCCCCGGCUAACUACGUG